rnacentral:rRNA from 1 species
AUUGAACGCUGGCGGCAGGCCUAACACAUGCAAGUCGAGCGAGCGGCGGACGGGUGAGUAAUGUCGGGGAAACUGCCUGAUGGAGGGGGAUAACUACAGGAAACGGUAGCUAAUACAGCAUCCGAUCAGAUGUGCAUCGAUGGGAUUAGCUCGUAGGUGGGGUAACGGCCCACUCGGGCGACGAUCCGUAGCUGGUCUGAGAGGAUGACCAGCCACACUGGAACGGAGACACGGUCCAGACUCCUACGGGAGGCAGCAGUGGGGAAUAUUGCACAAUGGGCGCAAGCCUGAUGCAGCCAUGCCGCGUGUGUGAAGAAGGCCUUCGGGUUGUAAAGCACUUUCAGCGGGGAGGCGUUACCCGCAGAAGAAGCACCGGCUAACUCCGUGCCAGCAGCCGCGGUAAUAC